AAAUUGAAGAGUUUGAUCAUGGCUCAGAUUGAACGCUGGCGGCAGGCCUAACACAUGCAAGUCGAACGGUAACAGGAAGCAGCUUGCUGCUUUGCUGACGAGUGGCGGACGGGUGAGUAAUGUCUGGGAAACUGCCUGAUGGAGGGGGAUAACUACUGGAAACGGUGGCUAAUACCGCAUAACGUCGCAAGACCAAAGAGGGGGACCUUCGGGCCUCUUGCCAUCAGAUGUGCCCAGAUGGGAUUAGCUUGUUGGUGAGGUAACGGCUCACCAAGGCGACGAUCCCUAGCUGGUCUGAGAGGAUGACCAGCCACACUGGAACUGAGACACGGUCCAGACUCCUACGGGAGGCAGCAGUGGGGAAUAUUGCACAAUGGGCGCAAGCCUGAUGCAGCCAUGCCGCGUGUAUGAAGAAGGCCUUCGGGUUGUAAAGUACUUUCAGCGGGGAGGAAGGUGUUGUGGUUAAUAACCACAGCAAUUGACGUUACCCGCAGAAGAAGCACCGGCUAACUCCGUGCCAGCAGCCGCGGUAAUACGGAGGGUGCAAGCGUUAAUCGGAAUUACUGGGCGUAAAGCGCACGCAGGCGGUCUGUCAAGUCGGAUGUGAAAUCCCCGGGCUCAACCUGGGAACUGCAUUCGAAACUGGCAGGCUUGAGUCUUGUAGAGGGGGGUAGAAUUCCAGGUGUAGCGGUGAAAUGCGUAGAGAUCUGGAGGAAUACCGGUGGCGAAGGCGGCCCCCUGGACAAAGACUGACGCUCAGGUGCGAAAGCGUGGGGAGCAAACAGGAUUAGAUACCCUGGUAGUCCACGCCGUAAACGAUGUCUACUUGGAGGUUGUGCCCUUGAGGCGUGGCUUCCGGAGCUAACGCGUUAAGUAGACCGCCUGGGGAGUACGGCCGCAAGGUUAAAACUCAAAUGAAUUGACGGGGGCCCGCACAAGCGGUGGAGCAUGUGGUUUAAUUCGAUGCAACGCGAAGAACCUUACCUGGUCUUGACAUCCACAGAACUUUUCCAGAGAUGGAUUGGUGCCUUCGGGAACUGUGAGACAGGUGCUGCAUGGCUGUCGUCAGCUCGUGUUGUGAAAUGUUGGGUUAAGUCCCGCAACGAGCGCAACCCUUAUCCUUUGUUGCCAGCGAUUAGGUCGGGAACUCAAAGGAGACUGCCAGUGAUAAACUGGAGGAAGGUGGGGAUGACGUCAAGUCAUCAUGGCCCUUACGACCAGGGCUACACACGUGCUACAAUGGCGCAUACAAAGAGAAGCGACCUCGCGAGAGCAAGCGGACCUCAUAAAGUGCGUCGUAGUCCGGAUUGGAGUCUGCAACUCGACUCCAUGAAGUCGGAAUCGCUAGUAAUCGUGGAUCAGAAUGCCACGGUGAAUACGUUCCCGGGCCUUGUACACACCGCCCGUCACACCAUGGGAGUGGGUUGCAAAAGAAGUAGGUAGCUUAACCUUCGGGAGGGCGCUUACCACUUUGUGAUUCAUGACUGGGGUGAAGUCGUAACAAGGUAACCGUAGGGGAACCUGCGGUUGGAUCACCUCCUUACCUUAAAG
rnacentral:rRNA from 1 species